rnacentral:SRP_RNA from 1 species
GCCGGGCGCGGUGGCACCUACCUGUAGUCCCAGCUACUCGGGAGGCUGAGGUGGGAGGAUCGCUUGAGCCUAGGAGUUCUGGGCUGUAGUACGCUAUGCCAGUCAGGUGUCCGCACUAAGUUAGGCAUCAAUAUGGUGACCUCCUGGAAGCAGGGGACCACCAGGUUGCCUAAGGAGGGGUGAACCGGCCCAGGUUGGAAAUGGAGCAGGUCAAAACUCCCAUGCUGAUCAGUAGCGGGAUCACGCCUGUGAAUGGCCGCUGCAUUCCAGCCUGGGCAACACAGUGAGUCCAUGUCUCU